GAUGAACGCUGGCGGCGUGCCUAACACAUGCAAGUCGAGCGAUUCUCUUCGGAGAAGAGCGGCGGACGGGUGAGUAACGCGUGGGUAACCUGCCCUAUACACACGGAUAACGUACCGAAAGGUACGCUAAUACGAGAUAAUAUGCUUUAGUCGCAUGGCUGAAGUAUCAAAGCUCCGGCGGUAUAGGAUGGACCCGCGUCUGAUUAGCUAGUUGGUAAGGUAAUGGCUUACCAAGGCGACGAUCAGUAGCCGACCUGAGAGGGUGAUCGGCCACAUUGGAACUGAGAAACGGUCCAAACUCCUACGGGAGGCAGCAGUGGGGAAUAUUGCACAAUGGGCGAAAGCCUGAUGCAGCAACGCCGCGUGAGCGAUGAAGGCCUUCGGGUCGUAAAACUCUGUCCUCAAGGAAGAUAAUGACGGUACUUGAGGAGGAAGCCCCGGCUAACUACGUGCCAGCAGCCGCCGUAA
rnacentral:rRNA from 1 species